UACAUACUCCCUCCGUUCGGAAUUACUAGUCCAAGAAAUGAAUGUAUCUAGAUGUAUUUUAGUUGUAGAUACAUCCAUUUUUGUGACAAGUAAUUCCGAACGGAGGGAGUACUAC
rnacentral:pre_miRNA from 1 species